GAUGAACGCUGGCGGCGUGCCUCAAACAUGCAAGUCGAGCGAGGCUAUGAAUUACCGCAAGGUAAGGCAUAGCCUAGCGGCGAACGGGUGAGUAACACGUGGGGUAACCUACCUGGAAGACAGGGAUAACGAUUCGAAAGGGUCGCUAAUACCUGAUAAUAUCCGUCUGCCGGAUGGCGGAGGGAAGAAAGGGGAAACCCGCUUUCAGAUGGGCCCGCGUCCCAUCAGCUAGUUGGUAAGGUAAAGGCUUACCAAGGCGACGACGGGUAGCCGGUCUGAGAGGAUGUACGGCCACACUGGGACUGAGAUACGGCCCAGACUCCUACGGGAGGCAGCAGUUGGGAAUCUUAGGCAAUGGACGAAAGUCUGACCUAGCGACGCCGCGUGAGGGAAGAAGGCCUUCGGGUUGUAAACCUCUGUCAUGGGGGAAGAAGGAAGUGACGGUACCCCAAGAGGAAGCCCCUGCUAACUACGUG
rnacentral:rRNA from 1 species